GUGCUCACUCCAGUAGCACAUACACUAAAAUUGGAAAGAUACAGAGAAGAUUAACAUGGCCUCUGCUCCCAGAUGAUACGCAAAUUCAUUAAGUGUUCCAUAUUUAA